UUGAAUGCUGGCGGCAGGCCUAACACAUGCAAGUCGCGCGGAUGAAGGGAGCUUGCUCCUGGAUUCAGCGGCGGACGGGUGAGUAAUGCCUAGGAAUCUGCCUGGUAGUGGGGGAUAACGUCCGGAAACGGGCGCUAAUACCGCAUACGUCCUGAGGGAGAAAGUGGGGGAUCUUCGGACCUCACGCUAUCAGAUGAGCCUAGGUCGGAUUAGCUAGUUGGUGGGGUAAAGGCCUACCAAGGCGACGAUCCGUAACUGGUCUGAGAGGAUGAUCAGUCACACUGGAACUGAGACACGGUCCAGACUCCUACGGGAGGCAGCAGUGGGGAAUAUUGGACAAUGGGCGAAAGCCUGAUCCAGCCAUGCCGCGUGUGUGAAGAAGGUCUUCGGAUUGUAAAGCACUUUAAGUUGGGAGGAAGGGCAGUAAGUUAAUACCUUGCUGUUUUGACGUUACCAACAGAAUAAGCACCGGCUAACUUCGUG
rnacentral:rRNA from 1 species